UUCAUGUUGAAUGGAUAUAUGAUACAUUUUACCACUUGCAAAUAUUUACAAGUGGUCAACUAAUGGAAUUUGUAAAAGUUUAAAUUUGUUGUAUCUUUAUCCUCAAUCCAGUCUUUACCUUAGCAAACCACUCCAUGAUAACAUUCCUUCCCUGCAGCCCGCUAUCUUUACAGAUGCUUUUGUUCCUGGAAAGUUGCUCUGACUUUGGCCAAAGAAGACAGCCAGGUGGUAAGUAUAGUCUGAGACAAUCCCCAAACAAGCAGAUAACAACAAACUCAUCUCUCUCCAUUUCUGUCUUCUAUUAAAUGAGAAAUGUAUGGGCUCAACCUAGGCUGAGUGUUCUGGGAAUGAACCAGUGCCCGAGGAUUCUGGGAGGCAAGGGGUUGUCCCUCUAGGGCCAAAAGCCUGUCAGUUUCCCUCCCAAUCUUAGCCCUCAAUUACUGAAUCAAAGGCGAGAGGAAGACCAAAUCCCAUCCUGUGCCUGGUCCUCAUCUCGCCCUGCUAGACCCGACAGGCUAUCUCUCUCUGCUUGUUCACUCACUCUAACUCGAAUGCACACGGAGCACAGCUCUUGGGAACCUUGCAAGUGAGCUGCUGGCCGUGCUCCAAAGAAGCUUCAAAGUUCAUUGCUCUUUCUCGGCAGGAGUGCAGAUGAGAACAUGCCAUAGAUGGAGCCACUUGCUAUCAUCUCAGAGAGGAUGCCUGAGAGGCUCAUUCCAGUCAUUCGCAAGCAAAGUCUGUUUCUGGCCCAGUUGGAGAAACUUAAAAGCACACCAAUGAGCAGAGCCCCCUCCGAUAAGCAGCGAUCACUCCAGCCAAGCACAGUCUAGUCCAGAUACCUCUCAAGUGAUUCCAGCAGUGCUGAGGAUGGCCAUAGAAAGAAGAAUCCUGAUCUGAAGAGUGCAAGUAAAACAAAACUACGAACUCUUUUGAUCCAGACUCUUUUUGACCACCUCAGUAAGAAAACGAUGUAAGUUGCUAUUAACCAAAGAAAACCUUGGUAAGAUAUGCCCACAAGCACUGUGAUUGGUUGGCUACUCUGGACUCAGGCAGGCCAUUUUACUUCUGUGUGAAGGUCUGCAGUCAGUGCAAAUCUUGGUGGGUGAUCACCAGUUACUUUAGUGUUCAAAUGGGUAUCUAUGAUCAAAACAAACGUGGAGAUUGCAAAAGAUUAUUAAAUGGGAAUUCCAUUCUGUAUUUGUAGAAAAGUUGCUUUCUAAUGUUAACUACUCAGGAUGUCACUAUCGGAGUUGGGACUGUCAAAAUGACGAUGAGUUUCUUGUAUAGUUUCUGGCACCUCACCAAUACCAACACAGGUAAAAUGACAUGUGCAUGCACAUGACUAACUCAUGCUAAAGGGCUCGAUAAUGGACGUACCGUCUAUGUUAAAGCAGUCGUGAGGAACCGGAUUAUUAUAUUGAGGUGCCAAAAAACGUAAACUAUAAAAAAAAACUUGCCGUUCAUUCUGACAGCCCAACACCAAUAUUAGUUAGGUCUUUAUUGUUGCUACACAGCACAAAUCCAAACACAAUGACUCAUGACUGGCAGAAGCCGUAACGACUGUCCAUGAAAGCUUUAUUGCCAAGUUGCAACCACAUGACCCCGGGGUACGCACUGAUGGCCACACAGUGAACAGACAGGCUUGCCAGGGUCAAGUUUUACAGAAUGGCUAUCUCCAUUCAGGCGUGGGUAGAUGUAGCUUGCAGUACUCCCUCCUUAAAAAACAAAAAAAAAUAAUAGUGAUUGCUCGACCAGUAGGUAAAGGCAGUUUUGCGGUCAAAAUGUUGUUUUCUGUAAUGUCUGAAAAUUCUAAGAGUAGCCGCACACGCAGAGCUCCUUUGCAUACAUUUACUAUGCAUACAUUUAGUAUACAAAGGAGCUCUGCGUGUGUGGCUACUCUUAGCCUGUUGCCUGUGUUUUGUUUUUAUGUUAACUUUAACUUGUGGCUUAUUUUUUUAUUGCUUGUAUGUUCUAUGGUCUUAUUUUCAACUUUUAUUCUUGUGAAGCACUUUGUGAAUUUUA